AACGAACGCUGGCGGCAGGCUUAACACAUGCAAGUCGAGCGCCCCGCAAGGGGAGCGGCAGACGGGUGAGUAACGCGUGGGAACGUACCCUUUGCUACGGAAUAGCUCCGGGAAACUGGAAUUAAUACCGUAUGUGCCCUACGGGGGAAAGAUUUGUCGGCAAAGGAUCGGCCCGCGUUGGAUUAGCUAGUUGGUGGGGUAAUGGCCUACCAAGGCGACGAUCCAUAGCUGGUCUGAGAGGAUGAUCAGCCACACUGGGACUGAGACACGGCCCAGACUCCUACGGGAGGCAGCAGUGGGGAAUAUUGGACAAUGGGCGAAAGCCUGAUCCAGCCAUGCCGCGUGAGUGAUGAAGGCCUUAGGGUUGUAAAGCUCUUUCAGUAGGGAAGAUAAUGACGGUACCUACAGAAGAAGCCCCGGCUAACUUCGUGCCAGCCGCCGCAGUAAAAC
rnacentral:rRNA from 1 species